rnacentral:rRNA from 1 species
AGGGACUUCCGCAUGGACGAAAGUCUGACGGAGCACGCCGCGUGAGUGAUGAAGGUUUUCGGAUCGUAAAACUCUGUUGUUAGGGAAGAACAAGUACCGUUCGAAUAGGGCGGNACCUUGACGGUACCUAACCAGAAAGCCACGGCUAACUACGUGCCANCAGCCGCGGUAAUACGUAGGUGGCAAGCGUUGUCCGGAAUUAUUGGGCGUAAAGCGCGCGCAGGCGGUUUCUUAAGUCUGAUGUGAAAGCCCCCGGCUCAACCGGGGAGGGUCAUUGGAAACUGGGGAACUUGAGUGCAGAAGAGGAGAGUGGAAUUCCACGUGUAGCGGUGAAAUGCGUAGAGAUGUGGAGGAACACCAGUGGCGAAGGCGACUCUCUGGUCUGUAACUGACGCUGAGGCGCGAAAGCGUGGGGAGCGAACAGGAUUAGAUACCCUGGUAGUCCACGCCGUAAACGAUGAGUGCUAAGUGUU